AUUGAACGCUGGCGGCAUGCCUUACACAUGCAAGUCGAACGGUAACGGGCCUUCGGGUGCCGACGAGUGGCGAACGGGUGAGUAAUACAUCGGAACGUGCCCGAUCGGGGGGGAUAACGAGGCGAAAGCUUUGCUAAUACCGCAUACGAUCUACGGAUGAAAGCAGGGGACCGCAAGGCCUUGCGCGGACGGAGCGGCCGAUGGCAGGUUAGGUAGUUGGUGGGAUAAAAGCUUACCAAGCCGACGAUCUGUGGCUGGUCUGAGAGGAUGAUCAGCCACACUGGGGCUGAGACACGGCCCCGACUCCUACGGGAGGCAGCCGUGGGGAAUUUUGGACAAUGGGCGCAAGCCUGAUCCAGCCAUGCCGCGUGCAGGAUGAAGGCCUUCGGGUUGUAAACUGCUUUUGUACGGAACGAAAAGCCUUCUUCUAAUACAGGAGGGUCAUGACGGUACCGUAAGAAUAAGCACCGGCUAACUACGUGCCAGCCGCCGCCGUAA
rnacentral:rRNA from 1 species